GCGCUCGUAGCUCAGCUGGAUAGAGCGCCAGACUACGAAUCUGUAGGCCGCAAGUUCGAAUCUUGCCGGGCGCGCCA
rnacentral:tRNA from 1 species